rnacentral:rRNA from 1 species
ACGGGGCCCGCACAAGCGGUGGAGCAUGUGGUUUAAUUCGAUGCAACGCGAAGAACCUUACCUGGUCUUGACAUCCACGGAAGUUUUCAGAGAUGAGAAUGUGCCUUCGGGAACCGUGAGACAGGUGCUGCAUGGCUGUCGUCAGCUCGUGUUGUGAAAUGUUGGGUUAAGUCCCGCAACGAGCGCAACCCUUAUCCUUUGUUGCCAGCGGUCCGGCCGGGAACUCAAAGGAGACUGCCAGUGAUAAACUGGAGGAAGGUGGGAUGACGUCAAGUCAUCAUGGCCCUUACGACCAGGGCUACACACGUGCUACAAUGGCGCAUACAAAGAGAAGCGACCUCGCGAGAGCAAGCGGACCUCAUAAAGUGCGUCGUAGUCCGGAUUGGAGUCUGCAACUCGACUCCAUGAAGUCGGAAUCGCUAGUAAUCGUGGAUCAGAAUGCCACGGUGAAUACGUUCCCGGGCCUU